CCUCCCAGAACAUCAUUUCUUGCCGAAACGAGUUCACUGAGCAUCAUCUAACGGUCAGCCAUAACGUUUGAAUGCUUUCUAAACGAGUUCACCUCUUUUUGAAAUCGGAUUUAAGGGACGGUAACAUUCAGGCAUAAGUUUGAAUGCUUUCGACUUGAGGUGAGACACCAAAUUCAACUUAAUCUGUUCAUCCAUAAUGUUCAGUCGUAUUGUUAGGAUCCUUAUGAGAAAUUAGGGUUUAAAAGCCCUCGUCAUGGCAGCAGCCUAACGUUUCUUCCGUUAGUUCCGCCGUUACCCUCCUAGUUAGAUUACGAACAAUAGACCUACGAUCAACAUCUCUUGCCGUCUAAGUUCUGGGAAGUUAUAGGUGAUUUCGGCAGUUAGAGGUGAUUUUGGCUAGAUCUCCGCUUCAAAACCACCCACGAUCCCCCCCUACGCACCUAAAUUGAUGCUUAUAAAGUCUCUUUUGCCUUUGAAUUCGAAAGCUCUCUCAAUGCAUGUCAUCCAGCCGGUCGUCUAGGGUUUCAAGUUUGAUGAUGGUUCAGUUCAUAUCUGAGAACAAUUCAGAGCCAGAGUUUGAAACUUGCCGGAGAAGAGAUUCCAGUGUACCUACUGGCGAGUACAAACCGUUUCCUAAACAGUGGAAGUAAUCUUCGCUAAUGGCUAAUCAGGUAUGAUUGAAGGCAUAAAGACCAACACAUGAAUUGUGCAGCUUAUACUUGUGGAAUGCCGGUUUGACAUUCUUUUAUAUGUGUUUUCUUUCUUCCCUCUUUUAACUAUUCAUAUGGAAGAUAAUCGAAGAUAUAGUUGGUAGAAAAACUUGUGGUUUCCUAGGUUCUGUUUAACCAUCUGAUGUUAAAUUUGUUGUGUUCUUAGAUUCUUUUAGCAAUUAAACUCUAGACGUGUUAAAUCGAUCCGUAAUUAUUGGUAAUUUUAACACCCUUUUGACGGAUAACUAAUCCCAAACUCACUUGAUUUGAUAAAUUAUAAGGUCUUUUUCCAAAGGAUUGUGUUGAUUAUGAUGGUAUGCUUUAUGCUGCUCUAGGGGGCAGGGAAGAUGCUGUUAAUUUUAACAUUACAUCGUCUCAGUUAGCCUAUUUAUGUACCAAUUCCAGGCCAUUAGCUCGUCAACCUUUCGUAAAGCUUGUGGACCCGAGGGCCAUGGAAGUUCCAAAUAGUGAACAUGCUCGAGGUGGUGCAUGCUAAUCUUCUAAAAAUCAUUUCUUUUAAGCGGAUCUUCUAAUAAUCGUCAGUUCGUCACUUAGUGGGUAACUUGUGUUUUACCUGGUCAAAUUAGUUUGCAUGGUCUACUUUUCCUUUGUUGAAAUAUUAUAUUUUUCUAAAGAUAUACAGGACGUGUGAAUUGUUUUAAAAAUAAUCAUUUAC